CUUCCCUGUGCAAGACACAAAUAUGAGCGACAGCUUUUGGAGGAGACAAACAACAUAAUUACAUGAGUCUUUUUAUUUGAUGUGGGAUUCUCUUGCUUGAAAUAGUAUUCUUUGGGGCAUAUUUUUGACAUGAUUACGAUCACGGAUAACCCCUUCAGGAGAAAAACAUGCUUUUUUCUCUUUUACCAUGAAAAAAUAUACUAUACAUUAAUUUUUUUGUUUCUUCUAAUCUUAUCAGUACAGCUCAUUUUCUGCAGGAGAAUCGUGAAGAUAUGUGCUGAUCUUUAGGUCCUUUGUGCAGUUCAAGAUUUUAUGGGACUCCAGUUGCCUCCCUCAAUACCUUUAUUGAGACACAAUUUUUUGAAUUACAUUAACAUUAAAAUACUUUAACCAUGUCUUUUCCCCUUCUGUUCUGGCAGCUGCUGGGGAUGUCCCAAGUUAAAAAUGUGGAAAUUGAGAAUGACAAGGUCAACAUCUACCUGGAUCAGAUGGAUAACAAUGUCCAAAAGUACAAUUUCUCCGUGAAGCAGAGAACUGAAGUAUUGGAUCUGAAGGCAGCAACAGUGAAAGUCUAUGAUUACUAUCAUCCUGAAGACAAUGCGGUUGAAGAAUAUAACACACCUUGUAGCAGAGGUAAGGAU
rnacentral:lncRNA from 1 species